UACGUAGGGGGCAAGCGUUGUCCGGAUUUAUUGGGCGUAAAGAGCGUGUAGGCGGCUUCACAGGUCCGCUGUGAAAACUCGAGGCUCAACCUCGAGAUGUCGGUGGAAACCGUGUGGCUAGAGUCCGGAAGAGGAGAGUGGAAUUCCCGGUGUAGCGGUGAAAUGCGCAGAUAUCGGGAAGAACACCCGUGGCGAAGGCGGCUCUCGUGGGACGGUACUGACGCUGAGACGCGAAAGCGUGGGGAGCCGAACGAGG
rnacentral:rRNA from 1 species